GCUUCUAAUGUGAGGAAAAACACGGAAUGACAAGUGUGGGAAAGAGCAAGCACUAAAUUACUGUCAGAAAAAUAAACGGAGUAGCACAGUGGUGCUCGGUGAUUUACGGGGGCAAUUAGUCACCACCCCACGGCGCUGCUGAGGACAGCACGGCAGCAGACGCGCGUCAAGCCUGAGAGGAAGAAGCGGCUUUGCACUGCUCUUCAGACAACUUUUCAAACAAGGAGAGAGGAUAUUUGAGCGCAUUAGGUUCCAUGUCUGCAUUCUGGGUGCCCAUCCUUCAAAUUAUUCAACCAACCUAAUACAUAAAGAUGGGAAAUGCUGGAAGACACCUCUCUGCUGGUCCAUAGAUCAGCCAGUGUUGCUGCUGGAGUAGAAGCUUCUGACCACGACCUUGGCUGUAAGGCUGACGUUUUACAUCACAGGGAUUUUUACUCACUGGAACUAGCGCCUGUUGUGGAGGUUAAGAAUGGCUGCAUCUGAUUCCGCUCUGCUCCUUUUUCAUUGUUUUGGAAGAAUAAGAAUAGCUUUACAUUCAGAUGUUCAUUGAAGAUUUGGUAAGAGAAGAGAAAGGAGAGUAUUAUCUAAUGUUGAGUAUUUUUAAAGAGACUGCUAAGAAGAGGUUAAGAGCGGUCGCUGCCUGGAGGGAAGUGGGUGCUGACCUUGGACCCACCUCCCCUGCCACUGACUUCUGUCACCGGGUGACUGAGGUCACAUAACAAAUCCAGACGCCAGAGCCUGAGCUGUUACCCACUCCCUGUGCAGUGAGGACCCUGGAAGCCACGUCACGUGAGGAACUGUAGUGUCUGUGCCGCCACUGGGAAGAACUGGCACCGCUGGAGACAGCAGAUAAGGUGCUCCCACCCUUAGAACUGAGCACUCAAACAGCAGCGGAAGGACCAUUGUUUGUACGAGUGGAGGAAAGAUUUCAACUCUAAUCUAUGACAUUAGCGACACAGAACAAAUAACCAAAGUGUUGUUUUCAUUUCUACUUACUAUUAGAAAAAAGCCUCUUAAAAUUUUAAAAAUAAUAAUUAAAGUCUCUAAAUUUCUAUGCUUUUUCUUAAAAAGUUGACUCCUGAAUGAAUGCCGGAUGUAGGCCCAUUUUCUCAAACUGCAUCCACUGUCUUCUCAAAUGGUACUUGGUCUUUGGAACUAUGUGACCCUUCGGUCUGGGAACUAAGUCCUACCUCACAAUGUUGUUCCAAGGAUGGACUAUGUUAAUGCUUGUGGAAAAGCUUUGCAGUGGCUGCAUACCACACAAAUACGAGGGGUUGGUGAACAGAAAGAAAAUGUAUUUUAAGUCCUCUUGAUACUUUCGUCUGUAUAAUGAUACAGAUCAGCCCUGAAAGCUCUUGAAUCAGUCAGUCGUCUGUCUGGUAAAUAUAGUUGUAUAAAUGUAACCAAAGCAUAUGUAUUUUCAUUGGCUCAACCAGUGUUACCUAGUAGUGACUGGCACUUGUGUGUCAGUUACACAUGAGAUCUACAGAAAUGAUUAAUAUAUGGCUCUACCCUCUAGAAGUGGCAUAAAAAUGAAGAAGUUAGAAUUUAGGGAGGAGGGCACAGCUCAGUGGUAGAGUGUGUGCUUAGCAAGCACGAGGUCGUGGGUGGGUUCAAUCCCCAGUGCCUACAUGAAAUAAAUCAAUAA